UUUUUGUGGUGAUAAUUAUAGAAGAAAAUUCACAUCUCAGACUUUAGAGAUUUUCAUGAUCAAUGAGAAUGUCAAUUCUUAUUCGCAAAGCAAAAA
rnacentral:snoRNA from 14 species